rnacentral:rRNA from 1 species
AUUGAACGCUGGCGGCAUGCCUUACACAUGCAAGUCGAACGGUAACAGGUUAAGCUGACGAGUGGCGAACGGGUGAGUAAUACAUCGGAACGUGCCCAGACGUGGGGGAUAGCUCGGCGAAAGCCGGAUUAAUACCGCAUAAGCUCUGAGGAGGAAAGCGGGGGACCGUAAGGCCUCGCGCGUUUGGAGCGGCCGAUGGCAGAUUAGGUAGUUGGUGGGGUAAAGGCUUACCAAGCCUACGAUCUGUAGCUGGUCUGAGAGGACGACCAGCCACACUGGGACUGAGACACGGCCCAGACUCCUCAGGGAGGCAGCAGUGGGGAAUUUUGGACAAUGGGCGAAAGCCUGAUCCAGCAAUGCCGCGUGCAGGAUGAAGGCCUUCGGGUUGUAAACUGCUUUUGUACGGAACGAAAAGGCGCCUACUAAUACUGGGUGUUGAUAACGGUACCGUAAGAAUAAGCACCGGCUAACUACGUGCCAGCCGCCGCAGUAAUAC